GACGACGCUGGCGGCGUGGAUUAGGCAUGCAAGUCGAACGGUAUCAUCCUUUCGGGGGUGAGAGAGUGGCGAACUGGUGAGUAACACGUAGGUUACCUACCCUCAAGACGGGGACAACCCAGGGAAACUUGGGCUAAUACCGGAUGUGAGCAACUUUUAGUUGUUUGAAAGGUGGCGUAAGCUGUCGCUUGGGGAUGAGCCUGCGUCCUAUUAGUUAGUUGGUGAGGUAACGGCUCACCUAGGCAAUGAUAGGUAGGCGGCCUUAACGGGUGGUCGCCCACACUGGGAUUGAGAUACGGCCCAGACUCCUACGGGAGGCAGCAGUCGAGAAUAGUCUACAAUGGUCGGAAGACUGAUAGUGCGACGCCGCGUGAACGAUGAAUCCCUUCGGGGUGUAAAGUUCUUUUAUAUGUGAGCAGUGCUUCUUAUAUUAACAGUAUGGGGAGAGAGAUAUUAGCAUAUGAAUAAGCAACGGCUAACUCCGUG
rnacentral:rRNA from 1 species